CCGUCUCAAUUUGAGCAGGGUUAAUAAAGUGCACAUGAGUAUCAAUACCGCCGGCCGUUACGAUCAUACCUUCACCUGCGAUAAUCUCCGUAGAAGUCCCAAUGAUGAUAUCUACAUUAUCCAUUACUAAUGGAUUGCCAGCUUUUCCGAUUCCCGCAAUUUUUCCAUCCCGUAUUCCAAUAUCGGCUUUGAAAAUCCCGGUAUAAUCCAAAAUAAUCGCAUUCGUAAUGACCACAUCUGGGACUCCAUCUCCUCGGGUCGCAAGCGGAUGUUGACCCAUCCCAUCACGA
rnacentral:sRNA from 1 species